rnacentral:rRNA from 1 species
GCGGGAAAAGCUCAAAUUUAAAAUCUGGCGGUUUUGGCCGUCCGAGUUGUAGUCUGGAGAAGUGUUUUCCGCGCUGGACCGUGUACAAGUCUCUUGGAACAGAGCGUCAUAGAGGGUGAGAAUCCCGUCUCUGACACGGACUACCAGUGCUUUGUGAUGCGCUCUCGAAGAGUCGAGUUGUUUGGGAAUGCAGCUCAAAAUGGGUGGUAAAUUCCAUCUAAAGCUAAAUAUUGGCGAGAGACCGAUAGCGAACAAGUACCGUGAGGGAAAGAUGAAAAGCACUUUGGAAAGAGAGUUAAACAGUACGUGAAAUUGCUGAAAGGGAAACGCUUGAAGUCAGUCGCGUCGUUUGGAACUCAGCCUUGCUUUUUUGCUUGGUGCACUUUCUGAACGACGGGCCAGCAUCGAUUUCGAUUGUCGGAAAAGGGCUGGGGGAAUGUGGCACCUUCGGGUGUGUUAUAGCCUUCAGUCACAUACGGCGGUUGGGAUCGAGGAACGCAGCGCGCCGCAAGGCAGGGGUUCCCCCACUUUCGCGCUUAGGAUGCUGGCGUAAUGGCUUUAAACGACCCGUCUUGAAACACGGACCAA